rnacentral:rRNA from 1 species
GACGAACCGUCCAAACGUUAUUCGGAAUCACUGGGCUUAAAGGGUGCGUAGGCGGCUUCGCAAGUUGGGUGUGAAAGCCCUCGGCUUAACCGAGGAAUGGCGCCCAAAACUGCGGAGCUCGAGGAAGAUAGAGGUGAGCGGAACUUAGGGUGGAGCGGUGAAAUGUGUUGAUAUCCUAAGGAACACCAGUAGCGAAAGCGGCUCACUGGGUCUUUUCUGACGCUGAGGCACGAAAGCUAGGGGAG